rnacentral:rRNA from 1 species
GAUGAACGCUGACAGAAUGCUUAACACAUGCAAGUCAACUUGAACUUCGGUUUGGGUGGCGGACGGGUGAGUAACGCGUAAAGAGCUUGCCUCACAGAUAGGGACAACAUUUGGAAACGAAUGCUAAUACCUGAUAUUAUGAUUUUAGGGCAUCCUAGAAUUAUGAAAGCUAUAUGCGCUGUGAGAGAGCUUUGCGUCCCAUUAGCUAGUUGGAGAGGUAACGGCUCACCAAGGCGAUGAUGGGUAGCCGGCCUGAGAGGGUGAUCGGCCACAAGGGGACUGAGACACGGCCCUUACUCCUACGGGGGGCGGCAGUGGGGAAUAUUGGACAAUGGACCAAGAGUCUGAUCCAGCAAUUCUGUGUGCACGAUGAAGUUUUUCGGAAUGUAAAGUGCUUUCAGUUGGGAAGAAAAAAAUGACGGUACCAACAGAAGAAGUGACGGCUAAAUACGUGCCAGCAGCCGCGGUAAUACGUAUGUCACAAGCGUUAUCCGGAUUUAUUGGGCGUAAAGCGCGUCUAGGUGGUUAUAUAAGUCUGAUGUGAAAAUGCAGGGCUCAACUCUGUAUUGCGUUGGAAACUGUGUAACUAGAGUACUGGAGAGGUAAGCGGAACUACAAGUGUAGAGGUGAAAUUCGUAGAUAUUUGUAGGAAUGCCGAUGGGGAAGCCAGCUUACUGGACAGAUACUGACGCUGAAGCGCGAAAGCGUGGGUAGCAAACAGG